GUCAGGGGGCGGGGGGGGGGGGGGGGGUCCGAGCCGAGUUGGGACCAGCCCGAGCUGUGCUGGGAAGAAAUAAAUCUCUCCGUGAGCCAACAUUAAUACAAGCGUGGCAGGUUCUGGGCAGGUCCCCCGUUGAUUAUGCCAAUGGACGCCGGGGAGGGGAAGAUCGAGCUGCUGGGGUGGCGUAAAUGCACAUCACGCAGGGUAAUGCCUUGGAAAUAUACAGCACCCAAGCAGGCAGGCAGCCGGAGGCGGGGUACAGGGGCCGGUGGGGGCAGCAUCUGUUUGCAAUUACGAUGGCCAGCACCCACCGAACAAGGCUCCGGGAAAGGAUGCAUAGGGAGCCUGCUUCAAGUGAGCUGCGGGGGUGCCAAUCACUCACUCAUCACGUGUUCACUGAGCACCUAUUCGAUGCCAGGCACUGGGGGUACAGGGCUGAACAUCCAGGCACCAUGCUCCCCACACGGAGCUCACAGUCUGGUGCAGCAGACAUUACUAAGCGGGACAUCAUGCCAACUGCAUACAAAGUGCAUUAAGCAGAAGGACAGAGAGUGAGAAGGUCUUAGGGAGAGAUCAUGGAGGACUGCCUGGAAGAGGUGACAUUUCAAAUGAGAGCUGACAGGUGAACUUGGUGGAGUGUGCAUGUGUGCAGCAGGGGUUGGGGGAAGAGAAGAAACACAUACCGAGGCCCUGAGUGGCGGAGUGUUUGGAACUUGUGAACAAGAGAAAGGGGGCCAGAGUGGCUGAUCAUGGAGAGUCAGGGCUCAGACACGUCUGAGAUUUAGUAGAAGCCAGAUCAGGCGUGGCCUUGUGAGUGUUGUAAAUGACUGGACUUCGUCAUACAGCAAUGGGGAGCCACCGAAGUUUCUAUAGCACGAGAGUUACUCAUCAAAUUCUCCUUUCCCAGUAUCUCAUCAAAUGCUCACUGUAACCCGGUGAGAUGAAUGGAACCAUUCCUCAUUAUUUGGGUGAGAGAACUGCAGCUCAGAGAGGUGAAGUGAUUUGCCUGAAGUCACACAGCAAGAGGGUGUCACAGUGGGCCUGUUGUAUUCCCAAGACUGUAAGCGAUUGAGCACAGACUACCUAGCCCAACAUUCUGGACCUGUUGCUGAAAAAGAAGGUUUGGAUUCCAAAAUAUGAAAGAAGAACUCUAUCCCUGGAUGUAGCUUUGGUGGGAAUUUGACAAAGGUCAAUAGGCUCCAAUCAGAGUGGAGGAGCCAAGGACAGUCCUGUCCUGGAGGAAGAGCCCAGGGUCACCAUGAUCUACAUAGGAGUCUGGCUUGGGGUUGGCCAAAGGGGAAGAUCUGAGGAUGCCAAAGGUCUACAGGGGGCUGGACACCUCGAGCAGAGAGAGCAGAGCAAGCGCCAGGACGGGCGGCUCACCCCACGGCUUGGGCAGCUGAGAGGCUGCCUUGAGCAUCCGUCCACUGGGAACUCAAAAGGAAAAUAACAAAAACCAAAAUAGAGUGUAAGAUCCUCUCCCCUGGCAGCAUCUUGCCAGCUCAAGAUCGGAAAGAGUAAUCCAGUUUAUCUGCAUAUCUUUGCACGUGCAGAUUCGGCCAAAAUAUUGGUAAUAAUGGAGACCAGCAACAACAAUGCAUCCACCUGGCAAAUAAGGGAGCAUCUUGUGUGAGCUUAACCCUGAGCUAGGCGCUGGGGCUGGAACAGCAAAGAAGGUGGAGACGGAGCCUGCCCCGCUGCGGCUUUGUCCAGGUUUAGUUUCUGAGCUGGAGGCCCGGAUAAGCCCGCCAUCUUGGAUUUAUGAAAAUUGAAAUGCAGGAAGGAGGGAAUUGAAAUGUGGCGUGGAGGAGCUGUGGCCUGGGAGAGAGGAUGCCCGGGUGUGUGUGAGUCAGUCAUGUCCCAGCUCAGACUGCAGUUUCCUCCUCUGUAAAGUGGUGGGAGGAGAGCUCUCACCAUCUCCGUUCCCUCUCUCCAUCCUCCUAGAUGACAGCACUUCCCCAAACUACGCUCUUCCAGACGUGCAAGGGAUGUGCACUACUGGUGCCCACGAGCCUAGAGGGGCAGCUUCGGGAAGACGAGCUUCUAGGAAUUCGGAAAGGAAACAGAUAUUUAUCACGCAUCAUCAUGUAUUCCGCUCUCUGGGGAUACGUCAGUGUUCCCGUGAGGGGUUCUCUGAAGAAUUUCUCUGUGCCCUUCUUCUCCAUUCUCUCUUCCUUUCAGUCCGAUGACCCAUUGCUUCAGUCCCCUGUGUUCUGGGAGCUGUUUCCUUGGACACUUAUUGUCUGGAUCUAAAUGGCUCUUUUACGGCAUCAUCCAUGGCCCUAUGCUGAACUCAGGCAAGAGAAGAGCUUCAACAGUACCCUAUUCUCUAGUCUUGGUUCUGAACCACUCACUCCAUCGUGUUCCUUACAUGGCACUAGACUGUCAUCUCCUUCCUUCGGGAUUCCUGCUCCAUCAUUGCUGCCUUUGAUGCUUCCUGCAACCUGACUCUGCACAGAUUCUCACUAAAGAGGAGGUGCUGCCCUCUAUGAGGAUCUAUGUGUCCCUAGUGUUGUCAGCUGGUCUGAAGUCCAGGAGCCACAGCCCUAAUCUUUUCCCUCCCCUGGCGGCUCAGCUUCUACAGAACAAGGGCCUGAGUCUUUCAGCCACACAACAGCUAGUCUCGGCGCAUCUUUCCCACUUCAACGCCAUUGUCUAGGCUGUUCUCGCUCAUCCCACGCGGGAGGGCAUGAGUCCUAAUCAAAGGUCAACAGCUAGUAAGAACUCCUUCUGAGUUUUGACGACAGGAGAUGCAAUCAGAAGUCUAGAGAGCUGUGGAUUCCAGAAGGGAGAAGGCGAGAGAAGAUUGUCAUUCUCCACUUUUAUUUUCCUAUAAUCCACAUGGAGAAUAUAAGGCUUGCUGGGUGAUGUUCGGGAAGCCGGCUCUCCUUCCUGAGCCUCAGCAUUCCCCAUCUGUUCAAAUGGGUGGGCUGGAUGGGCUCAGAGCCAAUGAUUCUCGGAGACGAAGCAUUACGUGCCGCCUGCUGUGUCUUGCUCGGGUCUCACGGGGCAGACGGGUUUUGAAAGCAUUCACCAGUUAAUGCAUCACUUCUUCAUUAAAGGUUCUUUCUGGACAUCCUCUUAGCUCCUACUUUUCCAGGCUUUCCACCCCCAACCCCCACUAGUGCUGACAAAUUGCUGCUUGAAGUUCAUGGUCCCGGGGGCCUCCUUAAAAUGUCCCGGAAUGCAGGCAUAGAGGGUGUGGAGGGAGCUUGGUGGGGGGGUGUUGGCCGGAAGCCACAUGCUGCAGCAGUAGGAGGCACGGGCAGGGAGUAGGGUGCAGACACCCUGAGGUUGCUCAGGCAGCGAGGCGGUCAGCGGCGUCCUGACUUUGAAAGCAAUCCAAAACACGGGCUGCGUUCCAGUCUCCAGUGAUGUCACAGCUAAUCAUUAGCCUGGUAAUUACAUUGAAAGGCUUCUGCGAUCUUAUCCUCAGCAGGGUCAUUAAUGCAAGGCAACCACACCAGUAAAUGUCUCAUUAGUCUUAUUUUAGACUUAUGUAUUUUUCAGGACUACAGAAUUUUAAUAGUCUGCCCUCCCCCCGGCUCCCCCUUCUGCGACAUUAAUAUCUAUUCCACAUGCCAGAUCCUUUCAACUCUUCCCCCUUCUUGUUUUCCCUGCUCACAGCCCCCCUGAGGAGGGCCCGGCCAGGGAGGGAGGUUGGAGUGGGGGGUCGUUAGGGGCUGGUCUCGGCCUCCCUCACCCGCCCCAGCUCUGUUUCUGGCCCCAGUCUCUUUUCUGUGAUGACAACCUUUUCCUGGAUUUUCUCUAUCUUCCUCAGGAAGCUUCAUUCUUUUAUUUUAACCCUCUUUAAACCUUUUUCCACAUUAUUAUAGAAAUGUGUGCUUAUUACAAAGAUGGGGAGAAAAUAUUACCAUUGAUCUCAGAACUCAGACAAAACGACCACCUUCCCACCUCUUGCUCAGUGCUCGCCACCCCA
ensembl:lncRNA